CUUGCUAUUCAGGUAGUGCAUAUUGCUGUUGCUACCAACAGAGGGCACUAGACAAGCUCCAUAGCCAAAUCCACCUAGUUGGUAGCAAACCUCAGCAGUACAGGAGAGCAGGCAAUACAUCCCAGGGGCCAUAGUCACAUGGCAGGAGGCUGGCAACCAGUCUUCUCCAAUGCCCAGUGGCAAGGCUUGGUUCUGCUACACCUAUCACCCACAGAGUAGUGGUAAAGUAGAACGCAUCAAUGGCACCUUAAAAGCCAGAAUGCUAAAGAUGGCCCAAGAGACUAACCUGCCCUGGCCAGAGAGUCUUCCCAUAGCUCUGUUUAGUGUAAGGUACACACCAAGAGGGAGGUUUAGCCUGUCCUCAUAUGAGAUUUUUUUUGGUUCAGCCCCUAGACUUGGCUGCUACUUUCCCCAGCAGCUCCAACUACAGUCUG